rnacentral:ribozyme from 1 species
AGAAAAAAAAAAAAAAAAAAAAAAAAAAGAG